rnacentral:rRNA from 1 species
UGAGGAAUAUUGGUCAAUGGGCGAGAGCCUGAACCAGCCAAGUAGCGUGAAGGAUGAAGGCUCUAUGGGUCGUAAACUUCUUUUAUAUGGGAAUAAAGUUUUCCACGUGUGGAAUUUUGUAUGUACCAUAUGAAUAAGGAUCGGCUAACUCCGUGCCAGCAGCCGCGGUAAUACGGAGGAUCCAAGCGUUAUCCGGAUUUAUUGGGUUUAAAGGGUGCGUAGGCGGGCCCUUAAGUCAGUGGUGAAAGUUUGCAGCUUAACUGUAAAAUUGCCAUUGAAACUGAGGGUCUUGAGUGUAAAUAAGGUAGGCGGAAUGUGUUGUGUAGCGGUGAAAUGCUUAGAUAUAACACAGAACACCAAUUGCGAAGGCAGCUUACUGGGAUACAACUGACGCUGAGGCACGAAAGCGUGGGGAUCAAACA